CCUAACACAGUGCAGUCGAGUGCGCGGUAGCAAUACUGGCGCACGGCGCACGGGUGCGUAACACGUGGGCAACCUACCCUACAGAGGGGGAUACCCCCGCGAAAGCGGGACUAAUACCGCAUGAUAUUCCGGUGGCUUCGGCUGCUGGACUCAAAGUCCGCAAGGACGCUGUAAGAGGGGCCCGCGCCCGAUUAGCUAGUUGGUGAGGUAACGGCUCACCAAGGCAAUGAUCGGUAGCCGGUCUGAGAGGAUGGCCGGCCACACUGGAACUGAGACACGGUCCAGACUCCUACGGGAGGCAGCAGUGGGGAAUCUUGCGCAAUGGACGAAGGUCUGACGCAGCGACGCCGCGUGGGGGACGAAGCCCUUCGGGGUGUAAACCCCUUUCGACCCGGACGAAGCCCGCAAGGGCGGACGGUACGGGAUGAAGAAGCCCCGGCUAACUACGUG
rnacentral:rRNA from 1 species